rnacentral:lncRNA from 1 species
AAGCAUCCCGAAGCUCACUUUCUCGGUCUCUCCUAAGAAGCACAGAUUCACUCACUCUCGCUUCUCCAUCUCACUCACCGCAGUUCCGCACGAUCACUCGUCGCUCCCCUCGCCGGCUAUUCUGCCUCAUCCCCGAGACGCUAGUGUCUGCUCGCCUCUUCCUUCUCCGUCUGUGUUGUCCCGGCCGCCUUGUCUCUGCCGUGCCUCGCCUGUCUCUGCCUCCGCUUCCACCUCGUGCCUCGUCUGCCUCUGCUUCCUCUGUCGUCAUCGUGUUGGCUCUUCUGCAGGCUCUGCUCUGCUCCUCUUCGAAGCUCUGCUAUCUCUCGUCGGUGGCUUGCUCUGCAACUGCCCCAAGUUGUAAAAUUGUUUCCGACUCUGUUUCUUCUUUUCUGCUUCUGCUGUGUAGUAGUACAUAAUGAAUUACAUUAGGUAUAACAAGUUGUUCUUAUUAAUUUUUUAUACUUGAUUUUUUAUGUUUUAAUUUAUUGAUGCUAAUUGUAUUUGAAUGUAAAACUGAUUGAUUUAAUUUGUAUUAGGUUUAGAUGAAUUGUAUUUAUAUGUAAAACUAAUUGAUUUAAUU